AUUGAACGCUGGCGGAAUGCUUUACACAUGCAAGUCGAACGGCAGCACGGGUGCUUGCACCUGGUGGCGAGUGGCGAACGGGUGAGUAAUGCACCGGAACGUAUCCAAUAAUGGGGGAUAACGCACCGAAAGGUGUGCUAAUACCGCAUACGCCCUGAGGGGGAAAGCGGGGGAUCGUAAGACCUCGCGUUAAUGGAGCGGCCGAUGCCGGAUUAGCUAGUUGGUGAGGUAAAGGCUCACCAAGGCGACGAUCCGUAGCUGGU
rnacentral:rRNA from 1 species